ACAGCCAGGAUGUUGGCUUAGAAGCAGCCAUCAUUUAAAGAAAGCGUAAUAGCUCACUGGUCGAGUCGGCCUGCGCGGAAGAUGUAACGGGGCUAAACCAUGCACCGAAGCUGCGGCAGCGACACUUAUGUGUUGUUGGGUAGGGGAGCGUUCUGUAAGCCGUUGAAGGUGUGCUGUGAGGCAUGCUGGAGGUAUCAGAAGUGCGAAUGCUGACAUAAGUAACGAUAAAGCGGGUGAAAAGCCCGCUCGCCGGAAGACCAAGGGUUCCUGUCCAACGUUAAUCGGGGCAGGGUGAGUCGACCCCUAAGGCGAGGCCGAAAGGCGUAGUCGAUGGGAAACAGGUUAAUAUUCCUGUACUUGGUGUUACUGCGAAGGGGGGACGGAGAAGGCUAUGUCAGCCGGGCGACGGUUGUCCCGGUUUAAGCAUGUAGGCGGAGGUUCCAGGUAAAUCCGGUACCUUUUAACGCUGAGGUGUGAUGACGAGGCACUACGGUGCUGAAGUGAUAAAUGCCCUGCUUCCAGGAAAAGCCUCUAAGCAUCAGGUAACAC
rnacentral:rRNA from 1 species